AAAAGUUGAGCGCUGGUAACCAAAACACUUCGGAAACAUAACAAAGAGCAGCAAAGGAAAGGGAACUGAACACUUAUAAACGGAGCUCAGCUACAGUGCCAACGAGUGACAACUCCGUUCGAUCUCCUACAUCAGCCAUACUUUGAAAGAAACAGGAAUUUUCCAUGGUUUGGAAACACAGUUUGUUUUAGGUCAUCUCCAGUUGCUUGGGACAUGGUUAUACAAGUAAGAAACAGGGAGAUUUAGGCAUUCAUGACAUCUACCUUUCGAACAUUGCUGCAAGUGGUAAGCAUAUCUAUAAUAUUGCCUAAAAGCAAGACAACUUAUGAAUGAAAUGGGCUGAUCACAUCCAUGCAAUAUAAAAAAACAAGGAUGGGAAGUUAGUUUAUAUUUGAAUCGUGUGCUUCCCCAUAAAUCCUCCUUUUUUGGCCUCACAAAGUACCUGAUUCACCAACUCUUGGCACUUCCAAGCAAGUCUACAUCUCUUCUCUUGCUCUUCUCAAGAUGUUUAAACAUGGAAAAGAAAGAGUUCCAAUGAAGGUGAUGGGGUUGAUGUCUGGGGAGUUUGUGGAUGAGUACGCUGUCAUGGUUGAUGUUUUCUCUAUGCUGCAAAGUGGGACUGGUGUUAGUGUUUGAAGUUGUUGACCAUGUUUUUCAGACUAAGAUCUUUGAUAUGCUCAAGCAAACUAGAAGCAUAGCUGAUCCUGAAGCUUGGACUUUUCAGCUCAACCUUCUAGUUGUAACCGCUGCAGAAGCUACAAGAGCGGCUUUGUAUGUCAUGAUCUCUGUGAAGAUGAUCUCAUACUUUUCGCUUGCGGAGAUGAAUAUGUUCUCACAAGGUGUCUUAGCUCAUUGAAGAAGGUACUCUUUAAUUUGCAAUAUCUUGGAAAGAACAAAAGAUUUGAUGCUAUAGGACUUACUGGCUUUUUAGCCAAGUUUUAAAAUUCUGAAUUUUGGGAAAAGGUAAAAGGAAAAAGAAGGGAAGAUAAAGAGGAGGGAAAGGACGGAAAAAGGAAAGAGAAGAGGAACUGAAGCUGCAUUUUCCUUCCAAAUCUCUACGAUUUUGGAGGGAAAUUCGAUAUCUUCCUCUUCCUGCCCAUCCUUUACCAAAUCCUUUAUCGAAACAUGGGAUUAUUGUUCCUAUUCCUUUCCCUUCCUGCCCAUUCUUCAAUUUUCUUUUCUUUUUUUUUAUAAAAAAAAAGUAUUAGGGAAAUGAUGAUGUCUAUUUUAGAUCUGUGUGCUAAUAAAUUCAGUUAUAUUAUGAACAGUCAUAAUUUGGAAUAAUUGCUUGGAAUAAUUGGGGAUUAGUUGGGGUGAGGAUUGAGAUGGUAGUGAGGAAGAAGGUAUAACAAAGGCAUUAUUUGUGACUCUUGCAGGGGUAAAUUUAUUUAUUUAUUUAUUUUUUUUUUUGGGGGAAAGAGUUGCUGGGGUAAUUUAUUUGACCUUUUAUAGGGAGAAAGGGAGCUUGGUGGCUGGGUCAAAUUGUGGUAUCAGAUUACUUAUCCCAGAAUUGUUCAGGCUUUACAAUCAGAUUUCUAUUUGCGUAUUUUAACCUAAAUUGCUAAAAUUAGCUCUUAUAUAAGUUUGCAAGAUUGAGCAAACUAAGAGUGAGGGGUGUUAGAAUUUUUCUUGAUUUGGUUAAUUUAUAUUGUAAGAACAUUGUACAUCUAUCUUUAGAUUCUUCUGAGUCUUGUUAGUUUUACUUUGAUUUGAAUUAUGAUUGUAUGUGAUUUUAAAUGCCUUUUGGCAAGCCAUUGUUAUACGGGGCCAAAAAAAACAGCAUAUAAGUUCUGAGAGUUCUGGAUAUAAUCUGGAGGCAGCAUGCUGCUAUACAAAAAGGUUAUCAUUUGCAUAUAUAUGUUGUUUCACUUGAAGUUCUGGUCGCUCGAUUUUUGCUUUCUAACAAUGAAUUUUCCCCCUUUUCUCUGCAGGGGUUGUUUGCUUGUUGUCAGCCGUUCUUCCAUAGUUAUCCAACAAACUUUGUUGAUGUUGGAGGUGGUGUUUUUAGGUUGGAUGAUGUAUGAUAUUCUAUUACAUCCUGUCAAACGAAGAGGACAGACAAUAUAACACAGCAGUUUUUUUUUAGAAAAGUUGUGAAUUUACUUGUGUAGAUGGAUGUAUUAUAGCUAAUUUUUAGCAAGUCUUUUAGCUGUUACUGUUACUUUGAGUUGAGUUCACAAAUGGAGCAAGUCUUUUUGUUAUUUUCACAAACCUUUUUCUUUGUUGCAGGCUUUCCUUGAAGAUUAUUAAAUAAAUAAUGAUGAAUGUCAAAAGAAUACUAGUUAUAAGAUUGUUCAAAUAAGCCAAAUAAAAGGAAGGAAAGCAUUAUGGAAAAGGCUUGUGAACUUGCCUGGCGCGAUUUAUUGAAGAUCAGGCCGUUGCAGAUGCUAAUGCUGCUGCUGUUUCCGCUUCUGCCUGAGGGUAUCUGGUUGCAGUAGUAAAAUUUUUUACUUUCUGAAGGUGGUAGCGUUGAUAUAACAGGAUGAUUUACUAUGUUUAAAACUGUAUGCCUUACUUUGGAGUUGUAUUGAGAUUUUACCCCACUGUUGUUGAUCUGGUUCAAUUGUCAACAUGCUAACCUUAAUUUGUCUGAGAAUCGUGGAAGGUUGAGUGAGCACCUCACCAUCUCCAUUCUACAUAUCCCUAUUGCUUGG